rnacentral:miRNA from 1 species
AUGCUGCUCGGACUCUUCAAA